UGGGUUGUGGCUCAGCGGUAGAGCACUCAUCUAGCGAGUGCGAGGCCCUGGAUUCAAUCCUCAACACCUCAU
rnacentral:tRNA from 1 species